GGCUGGAGCCGGGCGGCAGGGCGCGGCAGCCAAUCAGCGCGCGGCUUCUAUCGGGCUUGAGUUAUUAGACGCCGAUCUGCAAACAUCCUUCAUCAGACACCAAGGAGAGGCCAACAGAUGAGGGGAGCCAUUUUUCUGCAAUGGAAUUAAAUGGCCAAGUGGGUUUUUCCUUUGUUGCAAAUGGGGAAUGUUCUUCCUUUGACUCCUCCACCAUCCUGUGCAGGACGCCUCACUGUUGUGUGUAACAUGGGUCACCAAGGCUUAAAGGAUUCACAGUUGGAAGAAAGAAGAAGACUUUUAUUUUUUGUUGGGUUUUUUUUUUUAUAUAAAAAAAAAGAUCUGGAUUUUUCCUUAUGACUUGGAAUCCAUCUUUGUCUUAUAUAACUAGGUCAUAGCACACCCUUAAUGUCAGCAGUUAACAAUUUUGAAUUCCAAAAAAAACCUAAGUAAAUGACAUAUUUAAUUUUCUUUUUUUUUUUUUAACUUGGAGCAGUAAACAGCCCUCAGCGAAGCCGCCUUUUGCCAACCCAACCCUGGAAAGUUCACAGAAGUGGAAGGACAGAAAAUGCCAUGAGAGUGUAACUUACAAAAAGGCAGCUGGCCAGAGAAGGGGCAACAUGCCGGUACCCCAGAGUGGACCGUCCUCCUCUGAACAGGAGCAGGCCUAGUUUGAGUCUGACACUCCUCCCACUAAGGAACUCCUGGUGACUAGAGGCCGGAUGACCUGGGGCCUGAGAGCACCUCACAGGUAAGGACGCAGACAGGGCUCCUGGGUGUGAAGGUGCAGCGCCCAGCGACGCAGCUGGCCUGCCCCGGCCCCACCACCUCCAGGGCGCUGAGCAGCUGGCCUGGCCGCCGGGUAUUUUUAGCUGCAGACCCCGCCCCCCUCUGGAGCUGGGUCCCCCUCACACCCGCUCCCGGAGGCUGGGGUUCUGCCAGGCGGGAGGCCGGGGCCGGCGUCAGCUGUUCUGCCCGGCCCCGGGCAGGGCUGGGAGACUCACUUUCCCUCUCCCCCCUCCUGUCCACUUAGUGUGAGUGGUUCUGUCCUAAGUCAGAAUUAUCACCCCGUUUCUCAAGUGGGGAGUGGACACGGAGGUCUGAGGGUUUUGAGGGUAGCCGGGAGCCCUCCCCAUGGGCUUCUGUGGUUUCUCCUGGCCCAGUGCGCUCCGAGCGGGGUGGCCUUUCUAAGUGACUUCUCCCCAGGGCCCUCCCAGAUGAGGCAGCCCCCCCCCCCUUGCUCUCCCAGUCCCUCCCGGCGCUUUAGGGCCCCUGCUGCCGCGGGGUCAGGCUGCAGCUGAGGCCCCAAAGGAGAGUGAGUGGUCCUCCCCCCUGCACUCCAAACCCUCCCCCGCCUUCCCCGUCCUCCUGGGGUCCUGGGGUCCUUCCUGACGUGUCUCCACACCUGGUCUGUUGUCCUACCAACCUCAGGCCGCCUCAGCAGCCACCACAGCUCCUCUGCGUUCUCCAAGGGGAGCUGGAGGGUCCGGCUUUGGCUGGGCCUGUUCAGGAGCCUUUGGUCCAGUGCCCCUUGCUUGAGCCUGGCAGCCAGGCCCUCCUGAUCUAACCCAUGUUACCUUGACAACGGCGUCUGGCCUCCCCCCUCCUUCCCCAGAAUCUCUGCCAAACCUGGCGGGGUUUUUCGGCCACCAUGCAUUUGCCCCGGCUGGGUGCCCUUCUGGCAUGCCUGCCCUACGCUCACCAAGCUUUUUACUAGUUCACCUACCACCCACCACCUCUCAACCUUCUCUGAACUCCUUACAGGCAAGAAUACAAUGGCUUCUCAAUAAACUUGCGUUUGAAAAAA